rnacentral:RNase_P_RNA from 1 species
GCGGAUGGCUGGAUGGCCGCGGGCGGUAACGUCCGAGGAAAGUCCGGACUCCAAAAAGCACGGUGCCGGGUAACGCCCGGCGGGGGUAACCCUAGGGAAAGCGCCACAGAGAACAGACUGCCUUGGUCGCAUCUAUGGUGCGCAUUCGUCAAAGCCAAGGUUAAGGUGAAACGGUGGGGUAAGAGCCCACCGCGCGAGCGGCAACGUAAGCGGCACGGCAAGCCCCACCGGGAGCAAUGCCAAAUAGGGACUACGCGCCGUAAGGCAGGGAUGCUUGAGCCCGAGUAGUCCGGGUUGGCAGCUAGAGACCGUCUGGUAACAGGCGGUGUAGAUGAAUGGUCAUCCAUUUGGGGUAACCCAAAGGACAAGAUCCGGCUUAUAGGCCGUCCGCGCAA